CGAUUUAGAAUUAUCACGUUGUACAAUGAUACGGAUGAAAUAUUUAUACCGGUAACCGAACAAGUGGUUAUAACCGUAGAUAACAAAUAUAAAUAACGACAUAAUUGUAUGCAGCGCAAACAGUUCGAUAACUAGUGUACUUCAUACAGUGUAAAACAUGCGCGUGGAGUGCGGUGUUAUAGGGUAGUGAAACUUGGACGAUCGCCAAAGCGGAAGAAAACGGAUUAUUGGCUUUUGAAGCACGGUGUCGGUGAAGGACGCAUGGAAUAAGCUGGAGAGAACAUAUGACAAACGAUGAGGUAUUCGCAAAAGCUGAAGAACGGAGACGUUUCAUGAAUAGUUCGACGAAAAGAAGAACCGAACUAAUAGGACGUAUACUAAGACACAACAGCCUAUUGAAUAGAAUUACGGGAGGAACGAUAGUGGGAAAAAAUGUAGUUGGUAGACCACCUCCGGACUACUUACGACAAAUAAUGA